GUGGUGUUGGAGACGGACCCCUUAGAUUUCGGGGCGGCUGGAAAGAGCUGCGGCCGUUCGGCGGCAAAGUAGGGGGGAAAAAAAGGUGACGGUACCUCGAGGUGCCGAACCGCCAUGACUAGCCGCCGCCGCCUCGGCGUUAUUCCCGGGGGCGGGGCCGCAGAGCAAGAAUAAAUGUUUUAGAAACAAAUAAUGGAACAAUGUUUGAAAAAAGAAUGUAUAGGCUACCUGGGUGCAAUUGAAGAAGACACUUGAAAGAGCAUACAAAGAAAAAACCUCAUUCAUUCAGACUACAAAUAUGCAGAAAGAAAACAACACUGAUAUAUAUCAAAUGAUGGAGCUGGGAUCUACUAGAACUUGAAUUGUCUUUGUCUCAUUUAUUUUGUGGUUAUUGGAUUGUUUAAAGCACAGACAUUGGCUUUUUUCUUCCCCUUUCCACAUUACUGUGUAAACAUGGGACUAAUAUUUCAUUUUCAUUUUACCUUACUUAAUAAUCUACUCAUUUCAUAUUUUAUAAACAGUCACCAUUUCAUUUGCACUAAUGGUAAUAAAUUUUUCUUUCCAUUUGCAUGUCUAGCUAUAAACUGCUCUUCUGUUAGCAAAUCCAAUUUCUUAAAUUACUGUAACUGAAAUCCCAAAUGGUUCUAGAUUAAAAGUACUUUUUUUAGGGAGCCAGAAAAUUAAGAACUCAUAUUUUUAGUGAACACACUAACCCAGACAUUGAUAAGAACCAUAGACCAUAAAGAGCUAAAGAAAAGGUGGCAUGACCUCACUGAAGGAAGGGGAGAAGAAAAGGGAAGGGUGGUGCUGGCAGGGACCAAGCAGGACAUUCCAGAGAGGCAAUUGAGUCCAAUGAGAACCCAGCAAGGCAGGAUUCCAGAUUGGCUGCUGUAACAAAAACGCCAUAGUGGUGAAAACACUGUCUGCCUCUAGAUACACCACUGGGUUUUAAAUAUAUGAAAUGAUGCCAAAAUAAGAGUACAUGCCAAGGCUAUCUCAGUCUCCUCUCAUUUCCACAAUGUCACAGUUGGGCAAAUAGCCACAAGGGCACAGGUGGUAGAAAUGAAUUAGGGAGAAAAAUUUGGAGUUUAGAUAACAGGGUGACCCAUAACUUUAAUCACUAAAAUAUUUCACUUCUCAUGAGUAAGACAUUCUUAUUUCACCCUCUUGAAAAUUAGCAGAAUAAUUCAACUAUAUGGCCAAAGUUUAUAUAAUAUCUAUAAAAGAUGCAAUAAAUAUUUAUUCAAUUCCUAAACUUUCCUUGUAUAUGGGACUUGUAAAUCAAAGCUAAAAUGAUAGACAUUUUAAUGUUACUUGUUCAUAAUAAACUCAGAAUAUUUAAUAAACUUUUGGUAAGUG